UACGUAGGGGGCAAGCGUUGUCCGGAAUCAUUGGGCGUAAAGAGCGUGUAGGCGGCUCGGUAAGUCCGCUGUGAAAGUCCAGGGCUCAACCCUGGAAUGCCGGUGGAAACUGUCGAGCUAGAGUCCGGAAGAGGCGAGUGGAAUUCCUGGUGUAGCGGUGAAAUGCGCAGAUAUCAGGAGGAACACCAAUGGCGAAGGCAGCUCGCUGGGACGGUACUGACGCUGAGGCACGAAAGCGUGGGGAGCAAACGGG
rnacentral:rRNA from 1 species